AUUGAACGCUGGCGGAAUGCUUUACACAUGCAAGUCGAACGGCAGCACGGGGGCAGCCCUGGUGGCGAGUGGCGAACGGGUGAGUAAUACAUCGGAACGUGCCCGGUCGUGGGGGAUAACGUAGCGAAAGUUACGCUAAUACCGCAUACGAUCUGAGGAUGAAAGCGGGGGACCUUCGGGCCUCGCGCGAUCGGAGCGGCCGAUGUCAGAUUAGGUAGUUGGUGGGGUAAAGGCCUACCAAGCCGACGAUCUGUAGCUGGUCUGAGAGGACGACCAGCCACACUGGGACUGAGACACGGCCCAGACUCCUACGGGAGGCAGCAGUGGGGAAUUUUGGACAAUGGGCGCAAGCCUGAUCCAGCCAUUCCGCGUGCAGGACGAAGGCCUUCGGGUUGUAAACUGCUUUUGUACGGAACGAAAAGGAUCUGGCUAAUACCUGGGGCUCAUGACGGUACCGUAAGAAUAAGCACCGGCUAACUACGUG
rnacentral:rRNA from 1 species